AAGACAUUUAUUUCUCACAGUUUUGGAGGUUAGGAAGUCCAAGGUUGAGGGGUUGCAUCUGAUGGGGGCCUUCUUGCCGGUGGGGACUCUCUGCAGGGUCCUAAGGCAGCUCAGGGUGUCACAUGGCAAGAGGACAAGAAAAUGCCAAACUGGCUUUUAUAACAGACACACUCCUGUGAUAACCCAUUAGUCUACUAAUCCGUGAAUGGGUUAUUCCUUUCAAGACAGAAGAGCAAAUAUAACCCAGCCACCUCUGAAAUACCCCAUCUUCAACAUGAGUCUUGGAGGACGCAGACAUUCACACCAUAGCAUGAGGCUGUAGAUGUCUUCAAAACAACCUCUGCCUUUGUCUUCUAGAAGUGGAGUUUCCAGACUCUACUUGUUCAAGGAUGCUGUGUCCUUGACUUAGCUCAUUAUCACCUUUUGGUCACCUUUUUCAUCCUGGUGCUUUAUGGACUCUAAUUGAUCGGUUUCCAACCCACCACCAUAUCUGACUGUGCUCUAGGUGUUUCCUGUGAUCUCUGGGAUCCUGAUCCGCACCACUCAACUUUGGCCUCCUAAACUUCAUCCUUGACCCCACCCCAGGUAGGAAGGAUGUGUGGAUAUUUCUUUUAUCUUUCUGCAACGAUGACCUUUUGGAGAAAAAGAAAGGAAGCAGCUAUCAUAGUGUGAAAUUUCACAGCCAAAACUUCUGCAUCAGCUUCAUAAGGCAGGAAGCCUACAAAUUC
rnacentral:lncRNA from 1 species